GCUUAGUUUUUUUGUGUUGCGGCUUCUGCUUUCUAUUUAUAUAGUUCAGUGCUUCUUGAUUGUUCCACCUAUAUAUUUUGUAGAUUUCUCAAUGCUACAGCGGAGGACGUUUGGUUCUGAAGGCGAAAGAGAAAAGGUAUAUUAAGUCUUGCCUGUGUGGAAGUCUUUGCUAAACUGUUGUAGGAGCAAAUAGCUAUCUUGCCUCUAUUUUUAAUGUUGAUUUCUUUGUUACAUUUAGAGGACACUUGCAUUUAAUCAAAACUUGAUGGUAUUUAGAUCUAAGCUUUCAUUCUUACAUGUGUGGCAAUCUCAACCCCUUUUUUCCUCUUAUCCAAAGAACCUAUUGCAAUCAUUUGAUAUUUGAAUUGAAAUGCUAGCACCUCUAUAACUUUUAUUUGAUUGCUUUGUAAUUCUCUCAAUUAUAGAUUGGAUUCGUGUGGCCUGUGUAGUUCAGACUAUUCAUUAUAAGUAAUGUUACUUUACUAAUGCAUAUAAUUUUUAUUUGGUGA